rnacentral:piRNA from 1 species
UGGUGAAUCUUUUAAGAAGUA